rnacentral:rRNA from 1 species
AAGCUAGCGGCAGACAUAACACAUGCAAGUCGAGGGGUAGAGUUAGCUUGCUAACUUGAGACCGGCGCACGGGUGCGUAACGCGUAUGCAAUCUGCCUUGUACUGGGGGAUAGCCCAGAGAAAUUUGGAUUAAUACCCCAUGGUAUUUUGGUGUGGCAUCACACUAUUAUUAAAGAUUUAUCGGUACAAGAUGAGCAUGCGUCCCAUUAGUUAGUUGGUAAGGUAACGGCUUACCAAGACGAUGAUGGGUAGGGGUCCUGAGAGGGAGAUCCCCCACACUGGUACUGAGACACGGACCAGACUCCUACGGGAGGCAGCAGUGAGGAAUAUUGGUCAAUGGGCGCAAGCCUGAACCAGCCAUGCCGCGUGCAGGAUGACUGCCCUAUGGGUUGUAAACUGCUUUUAUACGGGAAGAAACCCCUCCACGUGUGGAGGAUUGACGGUACCGUAAGAAUAAGGAUCGGCUAACUCCGUGCCAGCAGCCGCGGUAAUACGGAGGAUCCAAGCGUUAUCCGGAAUCAUUGGGUUUAAAGGGUCCGUAGGCGGGUCUGUAAGUCAGUGGUGAAAUCUCCCGGCUCAACCGGGAAACUGCCAUUGAUACUGCAGGUCUUGAAUGUUUGUGAAGUAACUAGAAUAUGUAGUGUAGCGGUGAAAUGCUUAGAUAUUACAUGGAAUACCGAUUGCGAAGGCAGGUUACUAACAAAUGAUUGACGCUGAUGGACGAAAGCGUGGGGAGCGAACAGGAUUAGAUACCCUGGUAGUCCACGCCGUAAACGAUGGAUACUAGCUGUCGGACCGUAAGGUUCGGUGGCUAAGCGAAAGUGAUAAGUAUCCCACCUGGGGAGUACGGCCGCAAGGCUGAAACUCAAAUGAAUUGACGGAAGGGCGAAUUCCAG